rnacentral:lncRNA from 1 species
GCUCAGUGCUACCCAGGUGUGUGAGGACUGCCCAGUGGCCCUGUGCCCACCUCAGUACCCAGCUUGUUCCAUCUUGAAAUUCUGCCUGAUUUUUGCACCAGGGCUCCACGUUUCCAUUUUGCAGUGGGUCCUGCUAGGGCCCCACUAAAGCUCCCAGGCUUGCUUCUGAGGGGACCCAGUGACAGGGACAUCAAGGAACAGAUGCUGAUUUCAGGGCUCGCAUUCCCAAGAUGAGUGCAUGCAGGGACAUAAGAAGCUGGAGAAGGAAGUCAUGGCCUCCUCAUGUGAGUGGGCUCAUUGUAUUGGUUCCCUUCUGAUUACGUCUGGACUUCAGGCGAACAAGAAUAAACUUGAGUUCCACCUUGACUGCUUUAUUUUGAGGAAAAAGAAAUUCAGCGCCUGACACUACAGGGGCGGAAAGGGCACAGGGGCAGAAGACACUGGAGAGAUCGAUCACAAUGUGCGGGGCAGGGCCCUGGCCUGGAGCCCCUCCGCACGUCCUCCCUGGGCGCAGAAGGAAGCCUGAGCAGGACCCCACUGUCAGAUGCUGAGUGAGCCCCUAGGCUCACUGCUCUGAGGUGUUGCUGUCAGCCGACUCCAUGACACCUCUGACUUGUAAGUGUGACAGGAGCACUUGGUGACGCUUGAUCCCAGCCUCACCCCAGCCUCAGCCCAGAAACACGCCCAGAGCCAUCCCUGACAGACUCUCGUCUCCACAUGGGGCGGCCUUGG